rnacentral:rRNA from 1 species
AGAGAGAGACAUGCGCGCAUAUCAAUAAGCGGAGGAAAAGAAACUAACAAGGAUUCCCCUAGUAACGGCGAGUGAAGCGGGAAGAGCUCAAAUUUGAAAUCCUAAAGGGUUUCCCUUUACGAAUUGUAGUUUAAAGAAGUGUUUUCUGUUGAGGUUUUGGUAAAAGUUCUUUGGAAUAGGACAUCAUAGAGGGUGAGAAUCCCGUAUUUGACCUUUACUUUCAACUUUGUGAUACACUUUCAAAGAGUCGGAUUGUUUGGGAAUGCAGUCCAAAAUGGGUGGUAAAUUUCAUCUAAAGCUAAAUAUUGGCGAGAGACCGAUAGCGAACAAGUACCGUGAGGGAAAGAUGAAAAGAACUUUGAAAAGAGAGUUAAACAGUACGUGAAAUUGUCAAAAGGGAAGCGUUUGACACCAGUGUUGUUUUUCUGAAAAUCAAUUAAAGAACUGUUUAUGCUAAGUUGUUUAGACUUUAUCAGCUAACUGUUUAGUUUUGAGCUUUUCUUUAAUGCACUUUUCAGUUAACAAGUCAACAUCAAUUUCUUUUGCUGUAAAAAAGCUUGAGGAAGGUGGCUUGAGAUUCGUCUUAAGUGUUUAUAGCCUCUUGCCUAUGCAGUCGGAGAGAUUGAGGUCUGCAGCGUAGAUCCUUCGGGGCUAAAUGCAUUUGUGCUAAGUUAUAGCAUUUUAUAGACAACUUGUUGACUAUGAUUUGUCUUGUAGCUUACUCGCUUAUGUUAUUUUACCUACGCUUAGGAUGUUGAAGACUCUACAGAGAUA